UUAAACUGUUAUUCUCUAUCUUAAGAAAAAUCAUGACUUGCCAUUAAUGUUUCUUACUUAUCUAUAAUUAUAUGUGACUACAAAAUAUACUCGGUUCUUGACUUCUUGUUCGAGCUCUGUAUAGAUCUGAAGCCAUAUCCCGUCAUUUAUUUAAGAAAUGAUUUCGUUUCGUGAUCAAAUCUUCACUUGAAAUCAGUUUGUCGGUCUAAGUUAAAUGUUUAUUUGAUGUCUUUAUAUGAUAAUUUUUUUGCAGCUCAUGUAUUCAUAGGUAAAAGUAUGUUAAAAAGAGAUAAGUGUUGUUCUUGCUUAGUUCGAAAUGUUAUGCAGGUUACAUUUUAAAAAAAAAUUAGUGUGAAAAAAACCAUGAUCCUAUCUCAACUCUAUGUGCACAAAAAACAUAGAUUUUAAGCUCUUUCCCGAAUCCAUUAGAUAGUAGAGUUGCAUGUAUACGUUUCCUUCUAAGUAUUUAGUGAUGGCGGUGUAAAAUGUGGAAGGAUCAUGGAUUGAAAAGUAAUGUUUUUUAGCUUAAACCUGUUGAACUUGACUAUUAAUUUUGUGCUCAAAAGACAUGAAUGGUGGCUUGGCUGUUUUGAGUUAGGUUUAAAGUUACCAAUUGCGACAUUUGCACAUUUUCGUGUUUUGGAUAACAUAUUCAUUUUACGACUUUACUUAGCUUUAUUUUUGAUUUGUUCACUGUCAUUUAAAGUUGAAUCGUUUUACUAAUUUCCUUACUCUCUCCUUAUUUACAUGAACACCUUCGGAGCUAAUUGGAGUUUUCAUAAAAGAAUUUCACCGUGCAAGAAGUCUCAUUUCGGGACUCAUCACCACCACUAGAUUUGAAAGUGUGCAUCCACUCUACCACUUUGUGUCUUCCGCUUCUCAAAAGCUCAUGCAAAUAGACAUGGCAAAGUAGCAAAGAAAUCUCGAAAAUUUCUCUUUUCUUUUCUCUUUUAGUCAUUACUUUAUUAUGUUCGUGUUCUUGCUUAUAUUUUGACUUUGUAUUAUAUGACACUUUUUUUUUUUUUUAAUAUGACACUUAUUUGCUCUUUGCCCUUUCUGCUUUUUUAAGAAUAGCUACUUUAGUCUUUAACAAAUAAGUCAUGUUGGGUCUCGCGGAAUUUUCAUUUUUUUUUUGCAAACUGUUUUAAAAUAUAGAUUAAUUACCUCUUGAUUAGAUCCAUUAAGUUUUUUUUUUAAAAAAAAUUGACUAAAUCACUUCACUGAAAAGCUUUUGGUUAUGAAAUGUCUAAUGAGCAAGUUUUGUUGAAAGUUUUAAACCAUUCCAAAAAAGGGGAACAUGAACUUUUACUAAAGAUGGAUAAGUUUUCAAACGCUUGGAUGAAGGUUUCUUGAUCUACUUUGGUUUUAUUACUUUCCUGAUUUGUUGCAAAAUAUGAGGGAUUUUAUUUUCAAGAUACAUAUCACAAGUAUUUUAUCAAGUAUUUAUAACAUAUUCCUUUUAAAUUUGCUCCUUUAAUUUUUAACUAAUUAACCUAAGUUUUGGCCAGUUAAUCAUUUUUAACGGAUUUUAAAGUAUGUGUGUCUUUCCUUUAGGAUAAUUAGAACUUUUACCUAGAAUUCCAUAAGGUUAAACAAUAAUUCAUAGUUAACUUAGCAUCACUUUAACAAAAUAGGUGUCCUAAUUCACUAAAAUAUUUUACGCCGGUUUUCCUCGAAUUAAAAUGGAGUGUAACAUUAAACAUUUUAUAACUAAUGUAAAGUAUAUGAAGAGAUUGACAAUGGAUGAGUUCAAUAGAGUUGGAAGCUCAAAGGAGCUGACAAUAAUUGUAGCAUGAAUGCAAUUACAUAAAGUGAUUAUCAAAAAUCAAAAGUCCUAAAUUCAUAAGUAUAAUUUAUUAUUUAAUAAAAGGUCUAGGUAAUAACUUUUUAAUAAUAAAGAGUAAAACUGUCAGUUAAUUUUUUAUGGGCAUUUUUGUAAGAUGAUGAUGAUAAAGAUUUAGUUUCCCUGUUUUAGCUUAUUCAUAACUGUAAAGAUUGUAAUUUGUUUUGAUUGAUUGUAUUGAUUUCUUUCUUGAUCCUUAUUCAUAACCGUAAAGAUUGUCAUUUGUUUUGAUUGAUUGUAUUGAUUUUCUUUCUUGAUCCUUAUUCAUAACGGUAAAGGUGGUCAUUUAGUUUAAUUAAUAAUUGUAUCGAUUUCUUUCCUAAUCCUUAUGUUCCAAUGUCUUGUAUAAAUACCCUAUUCAUUAUUUUAAUAAAAUCAUCUCUUUUCCCGAAUUUAAAUCAAUACAAAUUGGUAACCAUCAAUAUGUUGUCUGAAUAUUCAAUCUUGUUAUAUAAAUUUCACGUACUUUCAUCAUAGAGAUCUGAAUUAUGGCGUGAAAUCCAGCUGAUUGGUCUUUGGUAGUCCACUUGGUGCAAUUUUAUAUAUUGUCUCAUAAGCGGCAGUAGUAUUCUACCUUUGAUACAGAGAGAGUAGAAGAUAUACUGAUUGAUUGUUUUGAGUUUAUCGAUCAUUGUGUUUGCUUCUAUGGUAGACCAUUGUGCUGGCUUCUAUGGAUAGUGAUGGCACAUGAAGAUCAAUAAAUUCAGGAUGGUCAAUUAGUAUAGCCUCUUCUUUCUUUGUAUCAAAAGUUAGAAUACUACCGUCACUUAUGAGCCAAUGAUUGUGUCAACAAACAGGUGGACUAUUGAAGGAUAUAGAGCUGAAAGUAUUGCUAAUCAAUUGGAUUUCACGUCAUAAAAAGGAUCAUGCCAUAGAGGAUCAAGAUGUUGUGGGAAUCAUCAACGCUAUGCCGCUUGGAACUGAUAUCGAAUAUACACAGACAACGAGACUCGAUCAUCAAUGAGGUAUGUGAUGAACAAGCUGAUGAGGUUGCGGAUACAACAAAUUUGCAUGGGGAAUAUGAACUGAGAGGAUGUAAACAACAGAAUGAAUUGGACAGUACUGGAUAUAUAGUAUGCAUCAAAAUAUUCAAUGCUUUACUAGUUCUUUCGUUGGAUGAUUGUUGUUUAGUUUUCUUAAUUCCCAAUAUAUAUAAGUGGAUGCAGAAACUCUCUGCUAGUAUAUUAUUUGUGUAUGUUUUAGCUGAAUAUACUAGCAAAGAGUUUCUUGAAUAUUAUUUGUUUAUCUUCAGCUUGCUUGAAUGAAAAAGAUGCACAUACAUUGCAAUGUUGUCAUUGGCAGCUUGUUUUAUUAUUGUGCAUCUUAUACCACGCAGUGGUGCUCCAAUAACAAAAUCAACAUUUCUGAGAGGUGUAUCUUUUGGUUCUUGACAUUUUCCAAAAUGGAAAUUUUCGCAGCGAGUUUUAACUUCCACACCUUUCUGGCUAUCCAUGUUGUGUUUCUUUUCUCUUUUUCUCUCCAACCUGCUUUUCUUGGCAAUGAAACCGACCAACUUGCCUUACUUGGAUUCAAGGCCCAAAUAACUGAGGAUCUAUCAAGAGUUUUCGUCUCUUGGAAUUAUUCUAUUCAUUUCUGUCAGUGGACUGGAGUAAAAUGUCGCCUGAGAUAUGGAUGAGUCAUCCGCUUGAAUCUCAAAGGGCUGAGGCUGGCAGGUACGAUCUCAUGUCAUCUUGGGAACCUCUCUUUGCAGAAAAUGCCUUCCUCAACAACUCAGCAGGCUGUCAAGGAUUCAAAACCUGAAUUUGAGUUUCAACUAUCUAACAAGGGAAAUUCCAGUUAAUCUAUCACAUUGUGUUAACCUCAAGAGCCUUGUCCUCGAACACAACACUCUUCUGGGGAAAAUUCCUAAUCAAGUUUUAUCUUUAACGAAGUUCUAUUGGAAAUCUUACAUCUUUAGAAGAGUUGUAUUUAUCGUACAAUAAUCAGAGGGACAAGUGCCAGCUUCUUUUGCUCGAUUGACCAAGUUGAGGCUUCUUGGAUUGUCAGUAAAUAGCUUAUCCGGGGAGUUCCCUCCUCCGUUGUACGAUUUGUCAUCCCUGGUAAUCUCAGAUCCGAUUUACUUCCCUAAUUUCCAAAUACUUUACUUGGUGAAAUGUCAAUUCAUUGGUUCCAUACCAUCCUCUUUGGCCAAUGCUUCAAAAUUGCUAGAGCUUCAUUUUCCUGUAAACAAUUUCACUAGAAAUAUACCCAAGGGUUUUGGUAACUUGCGGAAUUUGUUGUGGCUCAACGUUUGGAGUAACCAACUUGGAUACGGCAAGCGUGAUGACCUUGACUUGGUAAAUUUUCUUACCAACUGCCAGCAGUCUACAAAUGCUCCAUUUGAAGACAACCAGUUUGUAGGUACAUUACCUCAUUCAACAGUCAACCUUUCUAGUCAGUUACAACGCCUACUCUACUACGGAAACAAAAUUAGUGGAAGCAUACCCAGAGGGUAACAUGUCUUCAACAUUGAGAAACUGUAGCCAACUGCUAAAAUUGGGUAUUUCUGAAAACAGCCUAACAGGAACUAUACCACAACAACUUUUUUCUCUCUCAUCCCUCACAGAUAUUUAUGUAUCUUAUAACUCUUUGACUGGUCCAUUACUGGUGUAUAUUGGUAACUGGAGUCAUCUUACUUAUCUUGAUUUUUCUCACAACAAUUUUUCGGGGAUGAUUCCACGAACUCUUGGAAAAUGCUUGGCCUUGGAGGAGAUCUAUUUGAAGGGAAACUCCCUUCAAGGAACCAUUCCCCAAUUUAGAAGAUUUGCCGGAUCUCCAAUCCUUGGAUCUUUCCCUAAAUAAUCUAUCAGGGCCAAUCCCUCACUUCAUUGCAAAUCUUUCUUCGUUACUCUACUUGAACUUAUCAUUUAACAAUCUAGAGGGUGAGGUUCAUGUCACCAGAAUAUUUUCAAAUUUGAGUGCAGAUGUAUUAAAAAGCUGCAUUUACGAUCUGUACUUCCCUCAAGCAUGAUACUUCAGAGAAUGAAUAUCAUAAUAUGUGGCCUCUGCACUUCAUUAUCUCACAGCUCAUUUGGGUGAUUUUGGUUUGGUGAAACUCAUUCUUGAUGAAGAUCUCACAGCUUAAUUUAGCUAUGCAGCUCCAGAAUACGGCAUGGGUAGUAAGGUCUCCGUUUUAGGAGAUAUGUACAGUUUUGGGAUUCUCAUAUUGGAGAUAUUCACUGGAAGAAGACCCACAGACACUUUGUUCCAAGCAAGCUCUAGUCUCCAUGACUUUGUCGAAACAGCAUUGCCAGAGAAAGUUAUGGAGAUUCUAGACAAAACAACUUUUCAUGGUGCGAUGAGUAAAGCAACCAACAGCAAAGAAUACUGGAGCAGUAUCAAGAAAGAAGAGAUGGAAUGCUUGGUUAGCAUACUUGAGGUUGGUGUUGCAUGUUCAGCUGAAUCCGCAAGAGACAGAUUGACCAUGACACAAGUUUACAGUAAGUUGACACUAAUAAGAGAAAUAUUUCUACAAUGGGAAGAUUGAGGCCACAGGCUACAAAUGAAAGCAUUGGAUUUGAUCUAAAAUGGUUUAAAUUCUGUCUAUUUGGUAAGCUUUGGAUUUGAUGUAAAACUUGAAAUGCCUGUAGUAUAAUUUUCAGCAUGCAGAAGAACUAAGGUAGUGUCAGAUUUCUUGUUGCUUAAUGGAUUUAGUAUAGGAACAUCAGAUAUUAGUUCUUAACGUCUACAUCAAAUAAUACGUUUCAUUCAUGAAUGUAAAGAAUCAGAUGUUUUAGGGGA